AAAGGAAAGAACCUGUAGGUGCUAAUGGAUUUACAAUAUAAAAUCGAGAUACUGGAGAAAAAUAAGGUAAUAAAUGUUCCUAUUAAUCUGAUCUUAUUUCCAAUAGAAAGAGAGAGUCCUACAAGAUCUGGAAGUUGAAAUUUAAAAAGAAAGGAGAUCAUGGUACGUAGGCAAAUUUUUCCUGAGAACUCAUCCACCAAUUAUAGAAGAGUUUAAAAGAAAGGGUCAUGUGUAAGGCAGCAAUACAGGAAACCACAAGUGGUUUUAAACCAUUUCAUGUAAGCUAGAGAUCACAAGAUUGACGGACAUAGAUAACCAUCGAAUUGCACCAUCAGAAGCAAGCUGGGGCUCAGAUAUAUCAAACUCCGACGAAGGGGGGCCACUAAGCUAAUGCUCAGGUUAUACAUACAUGUUUAUCAAAAAUAAGAGUAGCUAUAAUGGUAUAAAGAUGAAUAUUACUUCAAGAUGGAAUAGAUAGACAUACACCCCCUUCACAAUUACAAGGUAGAUAAUGAGGAAAAUGAACAAAAUGCAGCAGCCACAAGAGGAUGCAUGGGCCAUGGCAAAAAUGCUGCUACCUAGUUAGGAAUGGGAAGAGUAAGUUUAUACAUGGUAAUGGCAAUUUCUUUAUUUAGUAUCAUAAUAGCCAUCCAUCAAAUCCUUGAUUCUAUAUUUAGUUGACCUUUUGUCCAACCAUGUAUAGAAACUUUGCCUCUUAUUGCAUGCCUUGUCUAAUAUCUCAUUGUUUUUCUAAUAUGCUUUACAAGGUGUUUUAUUCAUAUGGAUGAAAUCAUGACUUAUGAUUGACAAAAUGUUUAAUGUCUUUGUUGUUGCAUUGUAAGAAGAACAAAUGUCUAAGAAGAGCCAACAUACCCUUGCUGGUCCAUCAACCCAAGAUGAGAAGAAGAGGAAGGCCAUUUGGAAUGAAAAAUUGAUAGAAGAGUUUAUCGAUAUAUGUAUUGGUAAAGUUGAAGCUGGUAAUCGC
rnacentral:lncRNA from 1 species